ensembl:misc_RNA Metazoa_SRP Metazoan signal recognition particle RNA
AUAGGAUUGAGGGGUUGGAAGAGACCUUUUAGAACAGCUGGUCGUUAUGUCAAGCGGGUGUCCGCACUAAGUUCAGCAUCAAUAUGGUGACCUCCUGGGAGCAGGGGGCCACCAGGUUGCCUAAGGAUGAAUGAACUGGACCAGAUCAGAAAGGGAGCAGGUCAGGACUCCCGCACCGACUGGUAGUGGGACUGUGCCUGGGCAAUAUAGCAAGAUCUUGUUCUU